GACACUGUUCACCCACCUCUCUACUGCACUCAGUUUAACAGUGAGAGUGGCUGGGUGAUGACGUGUGACAGUUAACAGUGAUGCAUCUCUGGUCUGUUUGAAGUGAGUUUUAAAGGUGAUGAAUGUAGGACCCUCUCUUUUUGGGAGGGGCGAGCUAUUCCACAGUUGACCUCCUGUGGACCUUUUUCACAGCAGACAUGUUGACUUGUCAUAGUAGGAAAAUCACAGCUGAGAUUGAUCACCUUAACGAGGGCUCAACUCCAUCAUGUGUCCCAGUG